CAGCAGCCGCGGUAAUACGAAGGGGGCUAGCGUUGUUCGGAAUUACUGGGCGUAAAGCGCACGUAGGCGGAUAUUUAAGUCAGGGGUGAAAUCCCAGAGCUCAACUCUGGAACUGCCUUUGAUACUGGGUAUCUUGAGUAUGGAAGAGGUGAGUGGAAUUCCGAGUGUAGAGGUGAAAUUCGUAGAUAUUCGGAGGAACACCAGUGGCGAAGGCGGCUCACUGGUCCAUUACUGACGCUGAGGUGCGAAAGCGUGGGGAGCAAACAGGAUUAGAUACCCCGGUAGUCCCUGUCUCUUAUAA
rnacentral:rRNA from 1 species